GUGUCGGUGGUGCGACGGUUUAGCAUACGGUCCCGGAAAGAGUGAGAUCUAGGUUCGAAUCCCGGCUGACGCA